UCUUAAGAAAUCAUUAGAUGAUGAAUUGUAAAUUCAUAUUUGAAAUUAGCUCUUUUAGCC
rnacentral:tRNA from 1 species